rnacentral:lncRNA from 1 species
GGGUGGGGUGGGGUGGGGUGGGGCUGACGUCGCUCCCGAGGGGAAGGCGGUGAGCCGGGAAAAGAAGGGGCGCCGGGGCCCUUGCGGAGGCCGGCGAGGCCAGGGGUCAGCUGCUCACCCUCCCCCACCCCGGCCUCCAAGUCGGCCAGUAGUGAGAAGGGUCGUGGCGGCCAGAGGCUGCCCCCCAGUGCCGCUAGGGGAACCCGGAGACGCGCGGCCUCACCCCCCCCAUCCGGCAACCCCCUCCCCCGACGCCCUGCGACAGAGGCGGCCUCCCGGCUUCACCCUGGGACCUGCGCUCUGCUGAGCCACCCGCCGCCGGCCUCCCGGGUCCCUCUCUGUCCCUCCUUUGCAGGUGGCGGGACGAUCCCCAGGGAAGAAGGAGAGAGAUUCGGCCCCCUCCGGAAGGCAGCAGCCCCAGCUGUGGCCCCAGGACUUGCAGUGGGGACGGGGCACCUCCUCAUCUCCUCCCCGGCCCCCUCUUUUGGGGUCUGGGCCCCCACUGUAUUCACUGUGGGUGAAGGCCACGCAGGGAGACACGUGUCUCGGAUCCGUCCUAUCAAUGCCAAGGUUCCUCGCUGGGCUUUAUGGCUUCUUCAGACACCACCGACUCCGAUUCCGAGUUCUGUUGCUACAGCGUUCAUGAAGCACAGCCACACGUGCAGCGGGGGACACGUGGCUCCCUCAGAAGUUCCCGCGAAAGCAACGGGCUAGCUGAUUUUUCUCCAAUUCUCCAUCCCAGCGCGGGCUCCUGCAUUAGGAUUUGGCUUGGGGCCAGUAGCCUCCGUUACCAACCUCGCCGGUUCCCUUGUUCACUGAAGCCUGUCCUUGGAAAGAAUUGGAACAAGAGCCUGGGAGAGUCUCUUAGAAAUUGUUGCAAUAGCCGAAGAAGAACGGCCCCCCAAGGCAGCCUACGUUUCUGGUUGGCUGUCUCCCUUGGCUGUUUGUUGCCAUGGUGA